GAGAGGGCGGCGGCGGCAAGCCCGGCUCCUCCUCCGCGGCCCGGCCUCCUCAGCAAACACGCCGCCCCCUCAGCCCAGCAGCCCGCCACUCGGCGGCGCCGAGCCGACCGGGUCCGGAGCCGCAGCGGCGCGCGCGCAGGAAGUCCCGCCCCCGUACGUCAUCAACGCCGCGCGCCGCCCCGGCCGGCCUGGAGCCGUUGGUGGGGGACGCAGGCGACCGUUGCGCUGGCAGCGGCUGCUGCGGUGGGCACAGUGGGAACACGCCACUCUGCGAUGUCCCCUGCGGGCCGCGUCGAAAGCCCGCGAGCCCGGGAAAGGGCAGGUCACGCCCCGGACACUCGUGUCGUGGAGCCGGUGUCACCUCAAAGCCCGGAUAUUGGAUACAGAAUAAGAAAUUUUGGGAGAUUAAAAUUCAGGAGUUCAGUUCCAGCCUGGAAAACAAGAUGGAACUUUCCAGCCUGCACCAAUGUUCACAUUUCUGAUUGAGUUACAAGAUUUUUCUUCUUUUGACCUCAGAAGUCACUUGGAAACUUUGGGGAAAAUUUCACCACAUCUUUUACAUUUUGCUUAUGGUUAGCAGGAGAUACAUUAGAACUUAAAAGAAGUAUCUCAGCCUCCAAUAUCAGUAGUGUUGCUGUAAACCCAUCCCUAAGGUUUCCUAUCCAGGCUUUGGCUGUCACACUUCAUUGCCGGUGUAAUUCAUGUUCACAGUUUUACCAUCACAGCCAGCCAUAUUUUUAGUGAAUUGCUUUAAACUCUUUGCUGAAGUGUGUGUGUGUGUGUGUGUGUGUGUGUGUGUGUGUGUGUGUGUGUGUGUGUGUGUUGCGCGCGCACGCGUGCGUGCGCGCGUGCAUGCAUGCGUGCAUGCUUGUUUUGGUCUUUUUUAAGUUGUUCUUUUUUUACAGAGAGUUUUUCACAUUUUUGUUAGGAAAUUUUACAAUACCAUUAAGAAAUGCUUUCCUAGUUUGCUAUUUCCCAGUAGCUACUUCUCAGUAAUGUCAGCUUUGAUGGCAUUUUUGGUAGUGUUUUUAUUUUGUGUCUUAAUCUUAGCACAUGAACCAUGCCAUUAUUAGUUUCUACUGGAGAUAGUUAUGUGUGUUUGGUAUGUGUGCCUGCUCAUGUGUGUCUGUCUGCACAUAUGUGCACAUGGGUGUGGAGGACAGAGAUUGACUUUGGAUGCUUUUAUUUAUCAUCUAUCCAGUUUUUUUUUUUUUUGAACAAGGUCUCACACUGAACCUGUAAUUCAUCAGUUCAGAUAGGCUGGCUGGCCAGUGAGUUUCAGGGAUCUGCCUGUCUCUGCUCUCUCAGUACUGGGUUAUCUGUCAUAUUAGAUAAGCACUUUACUGGCUGAGUUAUCUCUCUAAUACCCUGCUGGAAACAGUUUAUCCAGAGUUCUUAUUUGGGUCUUUCAUCUUCGUCAUCUACUUUAUCUUCUUCAUAAGUAUCAUUUCCUGAUAUUUGUUACUUCAUAACUUUCAUAUCUAUAUUUCUUGCCUUUUUCAUAGUCUUUUCAGUCCUACUUUUCCUUCUUGUCAUUGUAGCCUCUUUUAAGCCACCAUGUUUGGGAAGCUGCUCUUCCCUGAUCCCCAUGGGCCUAUCCUCUUGAGAAUGUAAUUUGUUAAGGCAAACUACAGUUCCUGUCACCCAGUGAGCUUGAGGGUUCAAGUGCUGCUUGUCUUUCUACUCCACUGUCUGAUUCUAUUUUCCUUCCGUUGUUUUUCUAAUCCUGAUGAAAAAUGUAUAUUGACAAUUAUUUACGUCUCACUCUGGAAUUGCUGCACAUGUCCUCCCACAGUUACAAUUUGGAAUCAAAAUGUUACCAGAUUGGUCACCUAUGUGUUUUUCUCUGCCUAGUAGCAUUUUGUUUUCCUAUUGAUCUAGCUCAGUUAUCCCUGCCAAGAUGGGAAAUCCUUGCGAGUUCUCAGCUGGACCCAGAGUUCAAAAUGCCCAAAGAGUAACCAUAACUUAGAGUCUAAUGGGACUUUUGUUGGCCCCUGGAAGAAAUUAUCCCAUUUGGAGGUCAGAACUUUUAUACCUUCAAAGUAAAGAGUUCUGGGACAGAACGAAGUAUCCUCUAACAAGUCAGUGGUACUGAUGUUCAGUGGGGUCACUUCUGCUUCCUUAGCUUUGUUCUUGGACCCAUGUGUUUGUUCUUCUUAGUAGGGACAAUACCUUUAGAAGUCUCUGAGUUUGAGUUAGUGUUAUGUUCUGUUUCUUGAAAGAUGGCACUUAAUGCUUAUGAAAUCCUGCUUCUGAACUGGCACUUCAGCUAAACCAUUAUUACAUUGGAAAUAAAUGUUAGGGUUAAGAUGAAUUUUAAGGUUAA
rnacentral:lncRNA from 1 species